UUUGGCUCGGCUCGGGCGCGUCGAACAGACGCCGGACGGACAGCACCUCCCCUGUCCGCCCAAGGCUAACAACGAGAUUGUGUACAACAAGUUCCCAGGAAACUAACUUGAAUACAUACACAAUCAAUAAUUACAACGAGAGCACAAUCGGUGCAAAACAACCAAGAGCAAGAUACAAGUAUAGAACAUACAAGUAAUGAUAAAGAGAGGAACAUCUAUCGAUUACAUUCAUUCAGCCUUUAUAAUACAACUUGAUUAUGCAUUAAGCUUCUAAACAUAAUAUAAGGCUUACAUCUUCCAAAAUACAAACACUACUUACAUUCAUCCCAAAAUAGCUCACAACCUAUACAUCAUCUACUCUCAAUGUAUAUAAAGGUAACUCUAAUGCAGAAAUAGGAAAGUAAACUAAUGCAACUAGGGCGCUAGGCCCUUACCGCGAUCCUCGCCGUGUGAACUCGCUCUCGGCCCUGUAGUAAAAUGGGGGUGAGAACUAACUUCCUUAGUUCCCAGUGGGUUCGGCCGCCGACUCCGCCGAUCUCCCCACUAGGUCCAAGUUCGGCACAAGUAGAUAAUCGAUAGAUAGAUAGAUAAGGAAAGCGGUAAAUGACAGAGGUAAAGCCACGCUACUAUGCCCAAUCAUAAAUAUAUGAAUGCAUGUACAAUGAAAUAGGUAAGCAGCUAACCUGUUAUCAUGUCCAAAGGUAAAGAUAUUCACUCGUUCGUUUACCUCAUUUAUUCAUCAAUCUCAUGGCUUACCCGGAGGCUCGCCUACAGCUCACUAGCCAUCUCGACACGUAGGGAGAAUUAACUCACACUACGGACCCGAGACCGUCUGGCGGGGCCAAAUAGGCAAUCCCUUGGGACCCAAAAUAGGCAAUCCCACGUGACCAACUCCGGAGCGCACUACUUGUGUGGGGCUUCCAUCACAAGAUUUAAAAACAGACCGUGAGCAUGAUCCAAUCCUCGUCUCAAGAAUACCCUAUCCUCUAGGGUUACAACCAUCAUAGAGUCCAUAGGUUUCAUAUACACUAUGACUCACAUAUGCCACUUGUUCUUUUGUUUCCUAUCAACUAGAUGCCACUCGUUCUUUACAAGUUUCCAAUGCAAUAGCCAAUGCAUUAUUAAAUUCCCAUCCACACUUAUCAUCUCAUUAUAGGGUUCCACAUCACAUAUAUAAACCUCAAGCAUGCUAGAUAUAAGUAUUAAGCCAAAUACAUUAUUCUACCAAAGAACAUGCAAGGUAUAGGACCAAACCAUCAUUUAUCACCCUAUAAUGCAAGAUGUCAAUAUGUCAAUAUGCAAUUUGAUCAAUAUAAAACUUAGACAUAAAAGGGAGCCCGAUUGCUUCGGGAUGGACACCACCCACCUUUUACAGCGUUCCGAUUGCUCGUCGUCACUUGCAAUCGGCCUCCCGCGGCGCACGCCGCUCGGCUUGACCCAAUCCGCGCGCGCGACCACCAAACGACCUCCGAUCCGCGAUCCAGAAAUUA
rnacentral:lncRNA from 1 species